rnacentral:tRNA from 1 species
GAGGGUAUAGCUCAGUGGUAGAGCACACCUAGCAAGCACAAGGUCCUGGGUUCAAUCCCUGGUACCUCCA